rnacentral:rRNA from 1 species
AUUGAACGCUGGCGGCAUGCUUUACACAUGCAAGUCGAACGGCAGCGCGGGCUUCGGCCUGGCGGCGAGUGGCGAACGGGUGAGUAAUACAUCGGAACGUGCCCAGUAGUGGGGGAUAGCUCGGCGAAAGCCGGAUUAAUACCGCAUACGACCUGAGGGUGAAAGCGGGGGAUCUUCGGACCUCGCGCUAUUGGAGCGGCCGAUGGCAGAUUAGCUAGUUGGUGGGGUAAAGGCCUACCAAGGCGACGAUCUGUAGCUGGUCUGAGAGGACGACCAGCCACACUGGGGCUGAGACACGGCCCAGACUCCUACGGGGGGCAGCAGUGGGGAAUUUUGGACAAUGGGCGAAAGCCUGAUCCAGCAAUGCCGCGUGUGUGAUGAAGGCCUUCGGGUUGUAAAGCACUUUUGGCGGGAACGAAAAGGACUGUGCCAAUACCACGGUUCGAUGACGGUACCCGCAGAAUAAGCACCGGCUAACUACGUG